rnacentral:rRNA from 1 species
AGUGAACGCUGGCGGUAGGCCUAACACAUGCAAGUCGAACGGCAGCACAGGAGAGCUUGCUCUCUGGGUGGCGAGUGGCGGACGGGUGAGGAAUACAUCGGAAUCUACUCUGUCGUGGGGGAUAACGUAGGGAAACUUACGCUAAUACCGCAUGCGACCUACGGGUGAAAGCAGGGGACCUUCGGGCCUUGCGCGAUUGAAUGAGCCGAUGUCGGAUUAGCUAGUUGGCGGGGUAAAGGCCCACCAAGGCGACGGUCCGUAGCUGGUCGGGGAGGAUGGUCAGACACACUGGAACGGAGACACGGUCCAGACUCCUACAGGAGGCAGCAGUGGGGAAUAUUGGACAAUGGGCGCAAGCCUGAUCCAGCCAUACCGCGGGGGUGAAGAAGGCCUUCGGGUUGUAAAGCCCUUUUGUUGGGAAAGAAAUCCAGCUGGCUAAUACCCGGUUGGGAUGACGGUACCCAAAGAAUAAGCACCGGCUAACUUCGUGCCAGCCGCCGCCGCAG